rnacentral:tRNA from 1 species
GCCGUAGUUCAGUUGGUUAGAGCGUCAGAUUGUGGUUCUGAAUGUCGUGGGUUCGAAUCCCACCGG